UUUUAUUCCUCAUUCACGAAACUGAAAGAAAGGAAAGAGGAUGAAAUCCCUAAUUCCUUUCUCAUUUGCCACAUUCUGUCAUUUUCGUCCCCUCAUUUUUUGGUUUCUUUCUAGUAGGUGAGUCGAGGGAGAAUGAAGCCAGUGCGGUGAAGUGGUUCAAGGUCAGGGUCGCGGUGGUCCAUCGACGAGGAAGUGGUUCGGAGGGUUCUGUUACCCCUAUUCUUUCGCACAAAAUGGGAUGUCAAUCCCUAAAUCCAACUCCAUCUUCUCCGCUCUUCAUUAGCAGUGGUCACGAUGAGAUGCGGUGGUUCAAGGUGACUCUCGGUGGUGACAGAGGCUCGUGGCCAUGAAAGAGAAUCACGCUCCUGAGAGAUUUACGGCCAGAUCGAGGUGGCCUCGGAUCGGUAAUGAAAUCUACUCCCUUUGUUUCACAUUAUCAUUAAGUGCCAAACAUACUUAAAAAUCAUACACUUUUAUGGCACUUAUCUUAAGCAUAAUUGAGAAAAACCAACUUAAAACAAUACUUUUUAUAUAAACUGUCACAAUUUAGUAUAUUUGUGUUUGUAUUGCCUUUUAUGUAUUUUAUAGGAAAUAAAAUGAAGAAAAGAAGAGAAAUGAUUCAUGGUCAAAAAGCAACAAAAGUCAAGAAAACCAAGGUCCUCAACCAGGCAGUUGAGCGUCACUUAAUCCACUUCAUCUUAAAAUGUAUAAAUUGUUAGGCUUUGUUCAUUAUGCAUAAAUUCAAUUCAAAUCAAGGAUUAAGACCAUUAGAAGUGAUAAUGGUCAAGAAUUUCUUAUGAGAGAAUUUUAUCAUGAAAAUGGCAUUGAACAUCAAACAACAUGUGUUGAGACACCACAGCAAAAUGGUGUGGUGGAAAGAAAACAUCAACACAUAUUGAGUGUCACUAGAGCCUUAAUAUUUCAAUCAAAUGUUCCUACUUGUUUCUGGAAUUAUGCAGUAUCAUAUGCUAUACACUUAAUCAACAGACAACCUACUGUUUUCUUGUCAAAUAAAUCACCCUAUGAACAGUUACAUCAAACCCUUCCUAGCAUCAACAACCUAAAGAUAUUUGGUUGUUUUUGCUAUCUUUACACCCUAGUGUCCCAUAGAAAGAGCUUGACUCUAGGUCUAAAAAAUGCAUAUUUUUAGGAUUCAAAAAGGGCACCAAAGGCUUCAUUAUCUUAGACAUAAAAACCAAUAAAGUUCUGAUAUCAAGAAAUGUAGAAUUCUAUGAGCAUAUUUUCCCUUUCUCCUACCUAGCUUCAAAUAACACAAAAACAACCAAUCUAGUACCCCUAUACUCCCUAUCAAUCAACAAGAUUCCUUUUACUAUUCUUGCAUUCAUCAACCUGCUAUCCAACCUUCCCUACCACAAAAUCGCCCCAAUUUUCUCCAAACUAGGCAUUCUCAAAGAAUUAGAAGAACUCCUACCUAUUUAGCAUAUUAUCACUACACCUUGUUAAAUGAUUCUAAUACUAGUAAUAACCACAUCAAAUACCCUAUAAACCAAAACUUUACUUAUGACCAUAUAGCACCUGCUCACAAACAUUUUUCUAUGUCCAUUACCAUUAACCAAACACCUGCCACAUAUUCAGAAGCCAUUAAAUCUGAUUGUUGGAAACAUGCCAUACAAACUGAGCUCAAUGCUCUAGCAAAAAACAACACUUGGAUCUUAGUCCUCUUACCUUUUGACAAGAAAUCCAUAGGGUGCAAAUGGAUUUUUAAAGUCAAACAUAAUGCAACUGGAUCUAUAGAGAGACGCACAAAGCAAGGUUGAUUGCAAAAGGAUUUAUCCAAACUGAAGGAGUAGAUUACAUGGAUACUUUCAUUCCAGUGGUGAAGAUGACCACAAUUAGAGUGCUCCUUUGUCUAGCUACCACCUUCAAUUGGCACUUGCACCAAUAGGACAUCAAUACAACUUUCCUUCAUGGUGACCUCAAAGAAAUAGUGUUCAUGAAGAUACCUCAAGGCUUGCACUGUUCAAUCCCAAAUUGGUCUGCAAACUUGAGAAAUCCAUCUAUGGGUUGAAACAAGCAAGUAGACAAUGGCAUGACAAACUCACCACCAUCCUACUCAAACUUGGUUAUUCUAAAUCAUUUUCUGAUCAUUCUCUUUUUAUUAGAAAAACCAACAUUAACUUCACUCCUAUGUUGGUUUAUCUAGAUGACUUAGUGUUAGUAGGUAAUGAUCUUGAACAAAUAAUUGACACUAAAGUUGACUUCAAUGAUAAAUUCAGUAUCAAAGACCUUGGAGAACUGAAAUUUUUCCUUGCCAUGGAAGUUGCAAGAUCAAAGCAGGGAAUAUGUCUCUACUAGAGGAAAUAUACCCUAAACCUCCUUCAAGAAACUGGAUUGCUUGCAUCCAAGCCCUCUACAACCCCCAUGGAGUAUAACACCAAAUUGCACUCUCAAUCAAGACAGCCCCUUCACGAUAUCACUACAUACAAAAGAUUAAUGGGCAAAUUACUUUACUUAACCCACACUAGACCAUAUAUAUCAUAUGCAGUGAGUUCACUUAACCAAUAUACUCCAACUGAUUCACACCUUAAGGCAACUCAACGAAUCCUAAGAUAUCUUAAAAAUUCACCUGGGCAGGGCAUUUUCUUCCCUAGCCAAAACACCACAAUAAUUCAAGGCUACUCAGAUUCAGAUUGGGCCACUUGUAUAAACACAAGGAAAUUAGUGACAUGGUGGUGUUUCUUCUUUGGCAAUGCUCUCAUUUCGUGGAAAAGUAAGAAACGGAAUACUGUUUCUCGAUCAUCAUCAGAAGCCGAAUAUAGAGCCUUUGCCAUGGUUGCUUAUGAAGCACAAUGGUUACGUUUUCUCAUCAAAGAUCUUGGCCUCCAACAUCCUAAACUUGUCAGUAUAUUUUGUGACAAUAAUUAUGCACUUCACAUAGUUGCCAACCCUGUCUUUCAUGAAAGAACGAAGCACAUCGAGAUAGAUUGUUAUGUUGCUCGAGAGAGAGUUCAAAAUAAUACCAUUCAUCUUCUUCCCAUUUUAACUACACUUCAAUUGGCUGACAUAUUCACUAAAUCUCUCUCUCCUCUUCCUUUUAGAAGCAUCAUGUCCAAACUUGGCAUUCUUGAUAUUCGCAUGCCAAGUUGGAGGGGGUCUGUUGAAGGCAAAGUCAUUGUUGACAAGCCCAAAGAGAAGUCCAAAGCUAUUGCUACUUGCCUCCAAGAUAAAUAACAGAAGUUUUCUUUCUUUCUGUUUUUAGCAACUUUUUAUAUUUAUGAUAUUUCUGUUAUUUAGUUAGUUUCCUCUUUUAGUAAGAUAUGUUUUUUCUGUAAUUUUAUUUUCUUAGUUUUCUAUAUAAAUAAGUGAUCAAUUUUACUUAUUCAGAUUGAGAAAUUAAUACAAUUGAUUGAGCCUUAUUGUUUCAAGAAACUCUGCAUUUGGUGUUCUUUUAUUUCUUUAGUUUUGCUUCUGUUAGCACCAUUGUUCUUCAUCCUGCAACAAGCUUUUCUUCUUCAAAACAUCAUGGAUUAUCAACUUUUAUAUUAAGGUAUUUUCUUUCUCACUUAUAAAUUUUUCCGCUCAUCCAAUCUUAUCAAAUGUGAGACUGUUGGUGCAAAAUUGAUUAUAUGAUGAACAACAUCUAAAUCCUUGAAGUUUUGAUGAUCAAUAAAGAGUUACACUUAUAUAGCAUAGAUGAGAUAUAAUAUAAUUCAACUCUUAAGAAUAUGUAUUUAUAGGUCUUUCUAUGAUUAAAUGUUGAUUAUGUGAUUAUGUGAUAUACGAUUUCAUGAUAUGGUAUAUAUGUCUAGAUCUCUGUCAAAAGAAUGUUUGACCAUAUAAAUCUUGAUAUAAAUGAUACUCACAAUGAAUAAUAUAUCUGAAAAACAUGAAGUGAAAAUGGACAAUAAAUAUACGUUCAAUAGGCAAAAGUCAUCCCAGAGGAUUAGCUUAGACUUGUGCGUUCAACACAAAGUCACCUAAGCGUGUCAAAAAUGAAACGCAUCCAAGUAUUUUGAAUAUAAUAUUUUCUCGAUAUUAACCGACGUUAGUGCAAGUGGUACAUGCUUGAUUCUCCUUAAGCAAUGUCCUGGGUUCGAGUCUUAUGGGUGGAAAAAUGUCCAGUAGGAGAAUUAGUCUCUCACAUAUAUGUGAAUGUCCCGACUCGAACAUGAUUGCCUCUAGUACGAGGAUACUUGUGGGAAGCCAAAAAAAGAAAGUUAAUAACUUAUUAUUUAUAGAUUGAAUCUCUUUAAAUGCUUUUAAUGUGAGUCAAUGAUUGAAUAUUUGUUCCAACAAUUAUAUGUCCUUUAAUAUUCAAUACAUUCUUCAUAAUUUAAUAAGAACUGUAUUACCAACAAGUUUUUUGUAGAAAAAUAGUCUUGCUGUAUACCACAAAAGGAAACAACUAGUGACAAGCUUAGAGGACUGAAAUCUCAAAAUUCCUUUUGCAUAAAAAGCCAACACAUGAAGCCGCUAGCUACGAGAAACAUAUGAAGGCAAAACUGAAAGCAAAACAUACAUUAGAUGAUAUAUCUCAAUGGGAGGAAGCUUUUAAAAAUAUAGAUACAUUCUUAAAGAUCUAAAGAAUAUUCGAAGAAGAUCGUUGAAACUUACAAAGAAUUAAUAAGAAUUUCCUUAUAAAUAUGAAGAGUUUAGCAUGAAUAACCUGAGAACCUG
rnacentral:lncRNA from 1 species